rnacentral:lncRNA from 1 species
GUUUCAGUCAGCUGAUUGGUGGAGCCUCUCAGAGAACAGUCAUGCCAGGCUCCUGUGUGCAAGCAUAACAGAGUGUCGUCAAUAGUGUCAGGGACUGGUGCUUGUCCAUGGGAUUGGUCUCAAGUUGGGCCAGUUAUUGGUCGGCCAUUCCCUUUGUCUCUGCUCCAUCUUUGUCCCUGCAUUUCUUGACAGGACAAACUUCGGGUCAAAGUUUUGUGGAUGGGUUGGUGCCCAUCUACUGGGUCCUGCCAGGCUGGUACCAUAAAGGAGCAGACUCAAAUAAAGAAAAUCCACGCUCCGGUAUUCCAGCUGGCACCUGAGGCCGGCCGGCUGGAUGCAGCCCUGAGCAUCUGUGUCCCGUUGCCUUAUAGCCUCCUCCCAGCACAGGGAUCCUCUGCAGGUGAACCACUUCAGAGAAGAUAUAGCUGCUGGUAAAUGGCUUUGGUUUCCAGACACAAUUUUCCAACUUCACAUUCACAGAUAAACAAAACAGAAGUGAUGGUUUGUAUAUGCUUGGCCCAGGGAGUGACACUAUUAGGAGGUGUUGGAGUAUGUGUGUCACUGUGGGUGUGGGCUUAAGACCUUCACCCUAGCUGCCUGGAAGUCAGUAUUCUGCUAGAAGCUUUCAGAUGAAGAUGUAGAACUUUCAGCUCCUCCUGCACGAUGCCAGCCAGAAUCCCAACAUGUUCCACCUUGAUGAUAAUGGACUGAACCUCUGAACCUGUAAGCCAGCCCCAAUUAAAUGUUGUCCUUAUAAGAGUUGUCUUGGUCAUGGUGUCUGUUCACAGCAGUAAAACCCUAACUAAGACAGAGGAAAUGUGUUUGGUUUUGUUGUUGUUGUUGUUGUUGUUUUUGUUUUUUGUUUUUUCGAGACAGGGUUUCCCUGUAUAGCUCUGGCUGUCCUGGAGCUCACUCUGUAGACCAGGCUGGCCUCAAACUCAGAAAGCCGCCUGCCUCUGCCUCCCGAGUGCUGGGAUUAAAGGCGUGCGCCACCACUGUCCAGCUUGAGGAGAUGUUUUAUUUCUUCUUUUCCUGUGGUAGUUCUUAUCCCUAGAAAUUAACACAGAAUCCAG